rnacentral:rRNA from 1 species
CCUACGGGUGGCUGCAGUGGGGAAUAUUGGGCAAUGGAGGCAACUCUGACCCAGCGACGCCGCGUGAAGGAAGAAGGCCUUAGGGUUGUAAACUUAUUUUGUCAGGGAAGAAAAGCAUGACGAUACUUUACAAGAACUCCCCGUCUAACUAUGUGCCAGCAGCCGCGGUAAGACAUAGGGGGCAAGCGUUGUUCGGAAUUACUGUGCGUAAAGGGAGCGUAGGCGGGAGAGUAAGUUAAGAGUGAAAGCCUUGGGCUCAACCCAAGAAAGGCUCUUAAUACUGGUUUUCUAGAGUGUGGGAGAGGUAAGUGGAAUUCCUAGUGUAGCGGUAGAAUGCGUAGAGAUUAGGAGGAACAUCAGAGGCGAAGGCGGCUUACUGGACCAUAACUGACGCUGAGGCUCGAAAGCGUGGGGAGCAAACAGGAUUAGAUACCCGAGUAGUC